AUUGAACGCUGGCGGCAGGCCUAACACAUGCAAGUCGAGCGGGGUUUUCGGACCUAGCGGCGGACGGGUGAGUAAUGCGUAGGAAGCUGCCCGAUAGAGGGGGAUACCAGUUGGAAACGACUGUUAAUACCGCAUAAUGUCUACGGACCAAAGUGUGGGACCUUCGGGCCACAUGCUAUCGGAUGCGCCUACGUGGGAUUAGCUAGUUGGUGAGGUAAUGGCUCACCAAGGCGACGAUCUCUAGCUGGUUUGAGAGGAUGAUCAGCCACACUGGAACUGAGACACGGUCCAGACUCCUACGGGAGGCAGCAGUGGGGAAUAUUGGAAAAUGGGCGCAAGCCUGAUCCAGCCAUGCCGCGUGUGUGAAGAAGGCCUUCGGGUUGUAAAGCACUUUCAGCGAGGAGGAAGGGUGGUGUGUUAAUAGCACAUCAUUUUGACGUUACUCGCAGAAGAAGCACCGGCUAACUCUGUGCCAGCAGCCGCCGUAAGAC
rnacentral:rRNA from 1 species